rnacentral:misc_RNA from 1 species
GAUGAAGAACGUAGCGAAAUGCGAUAAGUAAUGUGAAUUGCAGAAUUCAGUGAAUCAUCGAAUCUUUGAACGCACAUUGCGCCCGCCAGUAUUCUGGCGGGCAUGCCUGUUCGAGCGUCAUUUCAACCAUCAAGCCCCCGGCUUGUGUUGGGGACCUGCGGCUGCCGCAGGCCCUGAAAAGCAGUGGCGGGCUCGCUGUCACACCGAGCGUAGUAGAUUUCAUCUCGCUCAGGGCGUGCUGCGGGUUCCGGCCGUUAAACCACCUUCAUAACCCAAGGUUGACCUCGGAUCAGGUAGGAAGACCCGCUGAACUUAAGAAUAUCAAUAAGCGGAGGA